UGCAUUUGAAGUAGAGAUUGUGCUGCUACGCGCCCAUUGGGCCAAAAGAAAUGCGGGAAGGGGCACACCCGCCAAAUGCC
rnacentral:ncRNA from 12 species